rnacentral:misc_RNA from 1 species
AGAUAAGAAUAAAAUCAAUUUAAAAAAAAAAAAAAAAAAAUUUUUUUUU